GUCCAGGGGCGGGAAUCGAACCCACAACCUUCUUCUUACCGGGCAGGUGCCAUGUCCACUAGGCUACCCUGGA